CUCUACUCAUCAUCAGAACCUCCCCCAGAUGUUAUGGAACUGGAUGUGUUAUUCCUCUAGAACACAGAAUCUCCUCCCAACUUCCAACUUGGACGUCCCAAGAGGAAUGAUGAUACUCAUGUUUCUGGGUGAAAGGGGGAGACCCCGGGCCAUGGGGCCUUGAUCCAGCUCGACCUGAAGGAGUCACCAAAAGUUCUUGGUCUUGUCACAAGAAUGAAUUCAAGGACAGACAUGCAACACAGUGGACGAGUGACACAGUGGGAAAGUUUAUUAAAGCGAAAAGUAUCUGCUCUCCUGGGGCCUGUCUGGUUUGACCCAGCUUCCUGGAGUGCUGCCGGGUCAGGUCUCUGACCUUCCCACCACUGGC